rnacentral:lncRNA from 1 species
UAAAACACAGUUAUUCAACAUGAUUUGUUUAACUGAUCUAUACAAAAAUUUGAACCAGUUGGACAUUUAUAAGUGAAUGAAAAUAUUCUAUCCUUUGCAUGUUUGGUAGUGAAUUUGUCUAAGUACAAAAAUUUGAACCAGUUAGACAUUUAGAAGUGAAUGAAAAUAUUCUAUCCUUUGCAUGUUUGGUAGUGAAUUUGUCUAAAUACUCAUAUUUCUACGAUGUCCUAAAAAAUAAUUCAAAAUGACUUAUUGUUUAUCCGAAACGUGAAUAUUGGUAUACUAACCUACAUUGGAUUAGUUAAGAUAUUUGCUCAAAAAUAGUAAAGUAUUUGUAUCACUUCAAGUUUACAUACAUUGUUGACUGAUCUUUGGCUCAAUAUUAAGUUACUAAUCUUUGCCUCUUCUUAUGUUUCAUGUACCACCGGAGAGCUAGAGUUUCUACUUUGGAACUCGUUUUGGCCUAAAAUAUUAGGCCAACAGCAAUUAGGAUCACCGCAAUGCUUGGAGUCUCAUAAAUAGGAGUCUAAUGUUCCUCAGCCUUUCUUUUGUUGCCUUAUGUUUUUUUAUGUUGGCUAACUUUUACUCUUAAGUUUCGUCGUCCUACUUAUAUUGUUUUUGAUAUGUUAGCUAACAUUUACCCUUAAGUUUUGAUACAUUGCCUGUCUUCUUUUAUUUUUGAAGAUUAUUCAUGUGAGCCAA